UAACACCAUCCUGAUAAGAACUAUGAGGAAGUCACAUUUGAGGAUUUUCCUCAGUCCACAUGUAACUGUUGUGGCUAGUCAAGUAUUCUCCCAUGAAAAACUUACCUUGUCUGUGAACAAAACUAUUCUCAGAAAAUCAGCACCUUCAGCAGGCUUUCAAUGUAGCGGAGAUGAAGCACAAUUCAGCCAACAUGGAUUUGUUCAAGUCAAAUUUCUGAGGCCUGAAGCUCAAAAUCUACACCCCAGAGAUUGUACAUUAUGAGAACAAAAAGUGACUUCUCUUGUAUUUUUCUAUCACUACUGGAGAUGAAGUUUAGCAGUAGAGUUUUUGAUCAUCCUGUAUUAUAAUUUCUUGUAUAUGGU
rnacentral:lncRNA from 1 species